ensembl:ncRNA C18B12.11 ncRNA
UAGCCCCUGUCAGCUGUCAAAAGUCACCCGCACACAGGCCCGCACUUGCUUCUUUAUUUCAAACGGACCAGCACAAGCGCAUUUUCACAAAUAAUCGAGCCAAUUGGUGGGAGGAGGCACAACAAUAAAUUGAGUCGUCA